rfam:Gossypium hirsutum cultivar TM-1 chromosome 25, whole genome shotgun sequence
UGUUAAAAUUUCAUCUAUUUAUACUAUUAAAAACUAGCAUCCCUAACGGAAUAACUAGAUAGUGACACUGACAUGUGACAUGCCACAUGUAUCAUGCUGACCUAUAGAGACUGAUUUUUAACAAUAGAAAUGAAUGAAAUUUUUAACC